AGUGAACGCUGGCGGUAGGCCUAACACAUGCAAGUCGAACGGCAGCACAGUAAGAGCUUGCCCUUACGGGUGGCGAGUGGCGGACGGGUGAGGAAUACAUCGGAAUCUACUUUUUCGUGGGGGAUAACGUAGGGAAACUUACGCUAAUACCGCAUACGACCUACGGGUGAAAGCAGGGGAUCUUCGGACCUUGCGCGAUUGAAUGAGCCGAUGUCGGAUUAGCUAGUUGGCGGGGUAAAGGCCCACCAAGGCGACGAUCCGUAGCUGGUCUGAGAGGAUGAUCAGCCACACUGGAACUGAGACACGGUCCAGACUCCUACGGGAGGCAGCAGUGGGGAAUAUUGGACAAUGGGCGCAAGCCUGAUCCAGCCAUACCGCGUGGGUGAAGAAGGCCUUCGGGUUGUAAAGCCCUUUUGUUGGGAAAGAAAAGCAGCAGGUUAAUACCCCGCUGUUCGGACGGUACCCAAAGAAUAAGCACCGGCUAACUUCGU
rnacentral:rRNA from 1 species